ACCAAUUGGCUCAGUCAGUGGAGCAUGAGACUCUUGACCUUAGGUUUGUGAGUUCGAGCCCCACAUUGGGUG
rnacentral:tRNA from 1 species